GGGCGCAUAGCUCAGCUGGUUUAGAGCAUCUGCCUUACAAGCAGAGGGUCGGAGGUUCGAAUCCUUCUGCGCCCA
rnacentral:tRNA from 2 species